rnacentral:rRNA from 1 species
GACGAACGCUGGCGGCGUGCCUAAUACAUGCAAGUUGAGCGCUGAAGGUUGGUCCUUGUACCAACUGGAUGAGCAGCGAACGGGUGAGUAACGCGUGGGGAAUCUGCCUUUGAGCGGGGGACAACAUUUGGAAACGAAUGCUAAUACCGCAUAAAAACUUUAAACACAAGUUUUAAGUUUGAAAGAUGCAAUUGCAUCACUCAAAGAUGAUCCCGCGUUGUAUUAGCUAGUUGGUGAGGUAAAGGCUCACCAAGGCGAUGAUACAUAGCCGACCUGAGAGGGUGAUCGGCCACAUUGGGACUGAGACACGGCCCAAACUCCUGCGGGAGGCAGCAGUAGGGAAUCUUCGGCAAUGGACGAAAGUCUGACCGAGCAACGCCGCGUGAGUGAAGAAGGUUUUCGGAUCGUAAAACUCUGUUGGUAGAGAAGAACGUUGGUGAGAGUGGAAAGCUCAUCAAGUGACGGUAACUACCCAGAAAGGGACGGCUAACUACGUG